rnacentral:lncRNA from 10 species
CCACCACGCCUGGCCUAGAAGUGCCUAUUUUAUUGUGUCCAACACUUGACCCCUUUACAAAGCUAUUAUAACAGUGUGGUGCUUGCUUAAGGAGAGGCACAUAUACCAAUGGAAUAUAAUAGGGAGCCCAGAAAUAAACACUCACAUACACAUUCAUGUGAGAGUCCACAGUAGGCCAAGACCAUCUCACUGGGAAAGGACAGUCUUUUCAACACAUGAUGCUGGGAAAACUGGACUUACACAUGCAAAAUAAUAUGGUUGGGGCCUUUAUCUUAUAACAUAUACAAAAAUUAACUCAGAAUGUAUCACAGAAUACAUGUAAGACCUACAACGAUAAAAUUCUUUGAAAAAAACAUAGACGCAUAUCUUCAUGACAUGAAAUUUGGCAAUGAUUUCUUGGGGAUGACUCCAAAAGCACAAGUAACAAAGGAAAAAACAGAUAAACUGGACUCCCUCAAAACUGAAAACUUCAUCAAAGGCCAUUCUGGAAAAAGUAAACAGUCAACUCACAGAAUGGAAGAUAAUUUGCAGAUCAGAUAUCUGAUAAGAGAUUAUUAUCUAGAAUAGAGACCUUCUACAAUCCAACAACAAUGGCACAAAUACUCUCCCGAUUUAACAGUGACCAAAUAACUUCAACAGACAUGUCUCCAGAACAGAUAUAAAAGUGGCCAAUAAGCACAUGAAAAUAUACUCAACUUCAGAGUCAUUAGGGAAAUGCAGAAUCAAAGCCAUAGUGAGAUAGCACUUCACUCUCCCUAGGAUGGCUGUUAUUUUAAGAUGCAAAAUCACAAGUGUUGUGAGGAUGUAGAGAUACUGUAACCCUUGAAUGUUGCUGUUGGGAGUGUAAAAUGGUGCAGCUGCUGUGGAAAACUAUAUGGCAGUUCCUCAAAAAGGUCACCAUGUGAUCCAGCAACAGCACUUCUGAGUAUACACCCUAAAGAAUUGAAGAAAGAGACUCACGCUGAUAUUUGCACAGCAAUGUUCAUAGCAGCAUGAUUCACAACAGGCAAGAGAUGGAAACAACCCCAAUUUCCAUCUACAGAUAUACGUACGAUGGAAGAUUAUUAGCCUUAAAAGUGGAUGACAUUUUGACGCUUGCUAUCACGUGAAUGAGUCUUUAAAACAUGCUAAGUGAAAUAAGCCAGACUCCCCCUGAGGCUGUAGGUGCAGGCUGUGGGGAGAAGGUAACGGGGCAGGAGUAGGGGCUAUGGACAUUUGGACCCUUCCUCCUGCAGCUUUCUUGUGCCUUCAGGACCUGUGUAAGCCUGAUCUCUCUGCCCAGUGAGUCCCCACUUCCAUCCUGAGGCUAUUUGGUCAGUGUCAGGUUGCAAAAGACACACAACCAUGAAAUGUGACUUGACAGAUACUCUGCAGUACUUUCACUUUCAGAUAGCUCUGGCUGAACUUGCAACCUAAAUACAAAUAGGAUUUUGUUUCCUUUUCACUGCUAGUUAUGAUUUUCAAGAAAUCCAUGGUUUAGAGGAAAAUGAUUUUGUAAUUUGUGCUGAAUUCUGAUGCAUGCUAUCUUGUCAGUAUUUCAGAUGAAAGUGAUAGAAAAGACACUUGUUUAUUGAGGGAGCAGUUAGCAAGCCACUCAGAGUAGAUACACAAUGGCCUGCCCUAAGUGAACUGGUGGGAAAUAAGAGUUGCUUGAUCGUUGAUUUUUUAUGAAAGUAGAGCCUAGGACUUUCCGUAGGUGUGAGAAAGUGUGUGAUGGAAAGAGGAGGAUCAGGGAUGGUGUGGAGGUUUCUGACCUGAGAGAGGGGACUUGGGGACUUCAGUCCCCACAUCCAUCUUGAGGUUAUUCACUCAGUGUCAGGUUGCAUAGAACACACAACCGUGAAAGGUGACGUGACAGGUGCUCUGCAGCACUUUCACUUUUAGAUAGUUCUGGCUGAACUUGUGAUCUCACUAAAGAUAGAAAUAGAUUUUCAAGAAAUCCAUGGUACAGAGGAAAAUAAUUUUGUAAUUUAUUGCUGGAUUCUGAUGCAUACUAUCUCAUUAGUAUUUCAGACAGAAGUGAUAGGAAGGACACUUACUGAGGAAGCAGUUAGCAAGACACUCAGAGUAGACACACAAUGGCCUGCCCUAGGUGAACUGGCAGGAAAUCAGAGUCACUCUAUCCGUGGUUGGCUUACGAAAGUAGAACCAUAGGACUUUCCACAGGUGUGAGAAAGCGUGUGAGGGAAAGAGGAGGAUAAUGGACGGCAUGGAGGUUUCUGGACUGAGAGAGGGGAUUUGGGGCAUGAAUAACUGAGAGAGUAGCAGGGUGGGAGGGGCUGUGUCGGAGCUGAGCAGGGCUGAGUGGGAGUCAUGGUCUAUACUGAAAGCAGAGUAGGGAUCUCAUGGGGACUCUCUUCCUUCUACCUGGACCCCAAAACUCACAGGUCCCUCCACUCAACCAGGAAAAAGAAGAGGGAAGCUCAUAUGCUCUUCGCCCUCAGUUCAGGAAUGGGGGGUGAACCAUUUCAUUUCUGGAAAUGCUGAGACCCAGAUUUAGCAAAGACCAAUUUCCUCAUUUAAAGGGUGCACCCACAUGACCAUGCCCUCCUCCUAUCCUCCUUCCUGACUUAAUGGGAGAAGUCGUGUCACAGAGGAGGGGCUGAAGCCUCAAAUAAUGGACAGGGCAGUCAGUACUUUUCAGAGCGUAAGUCUUGGUCAGAGAUAAAUAGAAGGCAAACCCUUUGAUCAGGAUACACAAUGACAUGGCUUCAUGACAGGCAUGCCAAAUACAUUUCUGUUUGUGAUAAAUCAUGGAGUCUGUUAUAGCAGCACAACGUAGACUGAGGUGGAAGUGAAGUCCAGGAAGCUGGGCUGCACAGCUCCUCAUCCUCAUUCCAUCAUUUCCAUCUGUGCAUUUUCCUGGUGAUUCCCUGCCCCUGGCACAUUCCUCACUGUCAUUUCUGCUGCAUCACAGUCACAGGCCUGCAAACAGAAACUGAGUCUCUUCCUGUCACCCCCUGCUCACACUGCUGGGAAAUCUUGCUAGGAAGGGCUUGGAAACAGGAAUAAGGCUGGGUGUGGUGGCUCACACCUGUAAUCCCAGCACUUUGGUAGGCCAAGGCAGGUGGAUCACGAGGUCAAGAGAUCGAGACAAUCCUAGCCAACAUGGUGAAACCCCGUCUCUACUAAAAAUACAAAAAUUAGCUGGGCCUGCUGGCAUGUGCCUGUAGUGCCAGCUACUCGGGAUGCUGAGGCAGGAGAUGAACCUGGGAGGAGCGGAGGCUACAGUGAGCCGAGAUCGGGCCACUGCACUCCAGCCUGGUGACAGAGAGAGACUCCAUCUCAAAAACAAACAAACAAACAAAGAAAAAAAAAACAGGAAUAAAGCCAGAGGUCAGGACCAACAGGGACCAUGUAAGUGCUGCAACUCAGACAUUCACAUAGAAGACCGGACACUAUUCCGAAGAGCUGUCCAGUGGGAGAAAACAAUGUCACCGCUAUGUGUAAGUUGAAAGGCACGGCCUUCAAUAACCUCAAGUCACAUAAACCGAGAAAGAAGCAUAGACGAUUUUAUGAGAUGAAAACAUGAUCACAUUGGAUGAAAUAUUCUUACCCCAGUACCCAGAGACUCUGUACCACAUUCCUGCUGCCUGGAUGAAGGACUGGCAUUGGCAAUUCAAGACGUUUUUUUCUAUCUCUUCAGUGAUAUAGAGUUAAAACCAGGUAUCUAUGAGGAUUCACCUGCUUUUGGUUUUUAUGAAGGUGUUUUUCUUGUGUAGAUACUUGUUAAAUUUAUGUCCUUGAGGCGUGGGGGUAAGAUUGGUGGAGCACUCUAUUGUGCCAUGUUGCAAGGUCUCCCCAAUUUAAAUUUUGAUGAAAUCCAGUUUAUCUGUUUUUUCUUUUGUUUCUUGUGCUUUUGGAAUCAUAUCCAAGAAAUCGUUUUAAGAUCCUAUGUCAUGAAAUAUUCUUCGAUGUUUUUUCUAAAAAUAUUAAAAUUCUAGGUCUUACAUUUAUUGUUUGAUACAUUUUGAGUUAAUUCUUGUAUGUGGCUUAUGGUAAGGUCCCAACUACAUCCUCAUGCAUGUGUAUAUCCAGUUUCCCCAAAAUCACUGGUUGAAAUGAGGGUCCUUUCCCAAAAGGGUGUCCUGGCACAUUUAUUGAAUCUCAACUGACCACCUAUGUGCAUGUUUACUUUUUGGCUAUCCUUUAUAUUUGAUUGAUUUCUAAGUCUGUCCUUAAGCCAGCACCACAUUGUUUUGAUUACUGUAGUUUUAAAGUGGUUAUAUUUGGGACACAAUAAAACAGGCACUGGCAAAGUCACUUUUAGGCUUUACACAUCUUGGAUUUGUCUUUGUUAUUUUUUCAGGAGUCAUAUAAAUACUAUUCCUCAUCAUUAUGCCUAUAUCUUGAGAAGUAAAGACACAUGCCCUAAUCAGCUGUGCUGGGGAAUAGGUCACCAUGAGAUAGAAGACACUUCUCAGUGUCCAGGAAACACUUCUUGGUCUCUUUCUUCCCAUGGCAUGACUCCCAUCUCAACUCACACCCCCCAUACUACACUUUUUGUUGUCACCAACACAGAGUCAUUGAGUGAAGCUUAGAUUCUGUUUUCAGUUCCCUCUAGUUCACUAGCCUCAAAACAUUCAAUGCUGAGCAGAAGGUGAGUGCCUGUUGUAGGCUGGACCACCUUGCAAAAAUGCUGCUUAUAAAAAUAAUUUCUGUCUUCCUGGCCCGAGUCAGUCCUUCACUUCCAUCUAUGUGCAGCCUGUUUUGCUGCUGGAACCGACUGACUAAUUUAUAACAAAUAGUAAUUUAUUUGGCACAAUUCUGGAGGCUGGAAUAUCCAGGAACAUACUGUUGGCAUCUGUCCAGGGCCUUUGUUUUGCAUCAUCUCAUAGUAGAAGGAGGAAUGACAAGGAGUGAGAUCAAGAGAGCAAGAUAGGGCCAAACUUGCUUUUAUAAUAAACUUACUCUCACAAUAACUAACCCAAUUCAGUAAAAAUGACAUUGAUCUAAUAAUGCAGAGCCCUUAUGACAUAAUCACCUCUUAUUACACCCCACCUCAAAACACGUGGAUUGGAUAUUACAUUUUUAACACAUGAACUUUGCGGCACAGAUUCAGACUAUAGCAGCCACAAAGGGAGAUGAAGGAAAUAUCACAAAAAUCCAGAAGAAACGAUGUCUUCUCACUUCCUCCAGCUAUAACUGGGCACAUUUGCUCACACAAUCAUUUCUGUAUUCUCUUCACACACACAUAUGUUGAACAUCCUCUCUGUGCCUGGUCCCAUGAAGUUGACACCCCCCAACUCCCUCAUCAAUGUUUCUCUCCACACUGAAUAGAAAUUCACAUUGAAUUUUCAUGAGUGAUAGACACUUAGUAUUCACUCUUUAUUCCAUUUAACAGUUAGCUUAUGUUGUCAAAAGAUGAUUAACGCACUUUCCUCUUUUUUGAGCUUCCCAAGACUCAAAGAUGUCUUCAGAACAAAGUGUAAAUCUUUUACAUUGGCAUCCAGGUUUUUCUAAUAGAAACCUAGCCUCUAGGAUACUUCCAAGAACUUCUUAACUCAUUCUGUGCUCCCUAAAAAUAACCUAUUAAUGUGGCAGCAAAAGCAUGUUGUGGCAUAUCUCUUUUGUUUUUGAUACUGUUUGCCACUUUUGUUUAAUUCUUACCUCCUCUCCAUAUAGAUAGAACAUACAAGUAUUUUAAUAUUCAGAAUAAUUUCCACCUCUUAUUGAAUUACACCCAAGGUUAUGUUGUGUCUAUUUAGGGGGAAAUAAUAAGAUUUUAAUAAUUAUUUUGUGACCCAUAUAUGGACUACUAACAAAAAUUGAGUUUUUCUCCUAUCUUAAACUCUGUAGCAUUAAAACUCAUGCUAGCAAAAUGAAUAAUAAAUUUUGGUCUGAAAAUCCAAAGUGAAUUCUGGCUGCAUCUGUUAUAGAGAUUUGGAGCUAUAAUUCAUCAAAAACGAAACAACACCUCUUUCUUACUCUGUCUUCUUGGCCCCUCACUUGCAAAUAGAUGCACCGAUGUUCAGCACCAUGAACAGUGCCACCGAGGUUUAUUUUUAAAAACCACUUUAGGGGACUUGGGCAUCAAGGUUAAAAGUGUCACAGAGUAGAUUUAUUUUUGGGGG